AUUGAACGCUGGCGGCAGGCCUAACACAUGCAAGUCGGACGGUAACGGGGAGAAACUUGCUUCUUUGCCGACGAGUGACGGACGGGUGUGUAAUGUCUGGGAAACUGCCCGAUGGAGGGGGAUAACCACUGGAAACGGUGGCUAAUACCGCAUAAUGUCUUCGGACCAAAGUGGGGGACCUCCGGGCCUCACACCAUCGGGUGUGCCCAGACGGGAUUAGCUGGUAGGGGGGAUAAAGGCUCACCUAGGCGACGAUCCCUAGCUGGUCUGAGAGGAUGACCAGCCACACUGGAACUGAGACACGGUCCAGACUCCUACGGGAGGCAGCAGUGGGGAAUAUUGGACAAUGGGCGCAAGCCUGAUGCAGCCAUGCCGCGUGUAUGAAGAAGGCCUUCGGGUUGUAAAGUACUUUUAGCGGGGAGGAAGGGAUGAAGUUUAAUACGCCUCGUCAUUGACGUUACCCGAAGAAGAAGCACCGGCUAACUCCGUG
rnacentral:rRNA from 1 species